AUUGAACGCUGGCGGCAGGCUUAACACAUGCAAGUCGAGCGGGGAAGGGUAGCUUGCUACCUGACCUAGCGGCGGACGGGUGAGUAAUGCUUAGGAAUCUGCCUAUUAGUGGGGGACAACAUUCCGAAAGGAAUGCUAAUACCGCAUACGCCCUACGGGGGAAAGCAGGGGAUCUUCGGACCUUGCGCUAAUAGAUGAGCCUAAGUCAGAUUAGCUAGUUGGUGGGGUAAAGGCCUACCAAGGCGACGAUCUGUAGCGGGUCUGAGAGGAUGAUCCGCCACACUGGGACUGGAACACGGCCCAGACUCCUACGGGAGGCAGCAGUGGGGAAUAUUGGACAAUGGGCGAAAGCCUGAUCCAGCCAUGCCGCGUGUGUGAAGAAGGCCUUUUGGUUGUAAAGCACUUUAAGCGAGGAGGAGGCUACCUGGAUUAAUACUCUAGGAUAGUGGACGUUACUCGCAGAAUAAGCACCGGCUAACUCUGUGCCAGCCGCCGCGGUAACAC
rnacentral:rRNA from 1 species